AACGAACGCUGGCGGCAGGCUUAACACAUGCAAGUCGAGCGCUCUCUUCGGAGGGAGCGGCGGACGGGUGAGUAACGCGUGGGAACAUACCCUUUUCUGCGGAAUAGCCACUGGAAACGGUGAGUAAUACCGCAUACGCCCUACGGGGGAAAGAUUUAUCGGGGAAGGAUUGGCCCGCGUUGGAUUAGGUAGUUGGUGGGGUAACGGCCUACCAAGCCGACGAUCCAUAGCUGGUUUGAGAGGAUGAUCAGCCACACUGGGACUGAGACACGGCCCAGACUCCUACGGGAGGCAGCAGUGGGGAAUCUUAGACAAUGGGCGCAAGCCUGAUCUAGCCAUGCCGCGUGAGUGACGAAGGCCUUAGGGUCGUAAAGCUCUUUCGCGUGGGGAAGAUAAUGACUGUACCCAGUAAAGAAGUCCCGCUAACU
rnacentral:rRNA from 1 species